UAGAUUUUAUGACGUUCUCUUUUUUAUCUUUUUUUUUUGUCGUAGAAUUUCUGACAUCUAAUUGUUAAUUAAAAUGAUUAUAGUGUAUGUUGGCAUUGACAAGCAAGUUAGUAAGAUCAACUGUAGUUUUCUUCUAAUUAGUAUACAAUAAACCAUACUACUAUAUAUGAUAUGAUAUUUUAGAAAGAAGUGAUUUUGGGUACAAUCCGGGUGUACCGUACACUUGGGUCGACCCGUACCUAAAUCUUGAUCCAUAUCCUG
rnacentral:lncRNA from 1 species